rnacentral:lncRNA from 1 species
UCUUCAUUCAAGUAAUAAUAAGCAUAAAUGGCAUGAGGACAAGGAAUACCUCUUAACAUCCAUAACCUACAAUCACAAUACUUCUUGUCCAAGUGAACAACAAAAGUGUAACCCCCAUCCCCAAUUUUAAAACCAUUAACUGCAUUCCAUAGUACUCUACACUUAUUUGAAUAUUCCUUGUUAGCUUCUAAAAUAGUUCAUGCCAUAGGUGUAAUGUCUGAAAUUUAUGUUUCUA